rnacentral:misc_RNA from 1 species
AAGUCGUAACAAGGUUUCCGUAGGUGAACCUGCGGAAGGAUCAUUAAAGAUUCUGGGCCCUUACCUGCCCAUUCUAUUCAGCUGUGCGCUUCGGCUGCACGCUGGAUGCAACACCUCACACCUGUGCACCAUUUCGGUUGCGGCUUUGGCCGCUGCCGCUUCAAAUGCAACCACUCGGUCUCGAAUGUCAACAAAACUAUAAAAAGUAACAACUUUCAACAACGGAUCUCUUGGCUCUC